rnacentral:rRNA from 1 species
UUGCUCUUCAACGAGGAAUACCUAGUAAGCGUGAGUCAUCAGCUCGCGUUGAUUACGUCCCUGCCCUUUGUACACACCGCCCGUCGCUACUACCGAUUGAAUGGCUUAGUGAGAUCUCCGGAUUGGCGUUAGGGAGCCGGCAACGGCACCCUUUGGCCGAGAAGUUGAUCAAACUUGGUCAUUUAGAGGAAGUAAAAGUCGUAACAAGGUUUCCGUAGGUGAACCUGCGGAAGGAUCAUUAUUAAAUAGUUACUUCGGUAACUUUAAUAUCCCUAACACCUGUGCAUUUUGUCGCUCCGGCGAUAUCAUACAAACAUCAGUGUAAUGAAUGUAAAUUAUUAUAACAAAUACAACUUUCAACAACGGAUCUCUUGGCUCUCGCAUCGAUGAAGAACGCAGCGAAAUGCGAUAAGUAAUGUGAAUUGCAGAAUUCAGUGAAUCAUCGAAUCUUUGAACGCACACUGCGCCUUUUGGUAUUCCGAAAGGCAUGCCUGUUUGAGUGUCAUAAGGCCUCUCAUACCUAGUUUUCUAUGUAUGAGCUUUGGAUGUUGCCAUUAGUGGCUCAUCUUAAAUGUCUAGUGGAAUGCGUAAUAAGUUUUCGCUCCCUCCACUCUAAUAACUUUUAUGUUAGACCUCAAAUCAGGUAGGACUACCCGCUGAACUUAAGCAUAUCAAUAAGCGGAGGA